rnacentral:rRNA from 1 species
UAGGGAAUCUUCGGCAAUGGGGGGAACCCUGACCGAGCAACGCCGCGUGAGUGAAGAAGGUUUUCGGAUCGUAAAGCUCUGUUGUUAAGGAAGAACGAGUGUGAGAAUGGAAAGUUCAUACUGUGACGGUACUUAACCAGAAAGGGACGGCUAACUACGUGCCAGCAGCCGCGGUAAUACGUAGGUCCCGAGCGUUGUCCGGAUUUAUUGGGCGUAAAGCGAGCGCAGGCGGUUAGAUAAGUCUGAAGUUAAAGGCAGUGGCUCAACCAUUGUAGGCUUUGGAAACUGUUUAACUUGAGUGCAGAAGGGGAGAGUGGAAUUCCAUGUGUAGUGGUGAAAUGCGUAGAUAUAUGGAGGAACACCGGUGGCGAAAGCGGCUCUCUGGUCUGUAACUGACGCUGAGGCUCGAAAGCGUGGGGAGCGAACAGG